rnacentral:rRNA from 1 species
AUUGCCCUAGUAUCGGCGAGUGAAGCGGCAACAGCUCAAAUUUGAAAUCUGCCUUCGGGCCGAGUUGUAAUUUGUAGAGGAAGCUUUUGGUGAGGCACCUUCUGAGUCCCCUGGAACGGGGCGCCAUAGAGGGUGAGAGCCCCGUAUAGUCGGAUGCCGAUCCAAUGUAAAGCUCCUUCGACGAGUCGAGUAGUUUGGGAAUGCUGCUCAAAAUGGGAGGUAAAUUUCUUCUAAAGCUAAAUACCGGCCAGAGACCGAUAGCGCACAAGUAGAGUGAUCGAAAGAUGAAAAGCACCUUGAAAAGGGGGUUAAAUAGCACGUGAAAUUGUUGAAAGGGAAGCGUUUGCGGCCAGACUUGCGCCGCUCCGAUCAUCCGGUGUUCUCACCGGUGCACUCGGGGCGGCGCAGGCCAGCAUCGGUUUCGGCGGGGGGACAAAGGUCCAGGGAACGUAGCUCCUUCGGGAGUGUUAUAGCCCUGGGCGUAAUGCCCUCGCCGGGACCGAGGUUCGCGCAUCUGCAAGGAUGCUGGCGUAAUGGCCGCCAACGACCCGUCUUGAAACACGGACCAAGGAGUCAAGGUUUUGCGCGAGUGUUUGGGUGUAAAACCCGCACGCGUAAUGAAAGUGAACGUAGGUGAGAGCUUCGGCGCAUCAUCGACCGAUCCUGAUGUAUUCGGAUGGAUUUGAGUAAGAGCGUUAAGCCUUGGACCCGAAAGAUGGUGAACUAUGCUUGGAUAGGGUGAAGCCAGAGGAAACUCUGGUGGAGGCUCGCAGCGGUUCUGACGUGCAAAUCGAUCGUCAAAUCUGAGCAUGGGGGCGAAAGACUA